AGUCCGGAGACGUCGGCGGGGGCCU
rnacentral:snRNA from 1 species